rnacentral:siRNA from 1 species
UAGAAAGACGUGUUGCUCGACAUC